AGCAUUUAGGAAUGUUUAAGAGAUGGCGAAGAUGACUGUUCCAUUCUUCGGUAGAAACCUGACGAUUUAACAACGUAUUGUCAUUAGCUAGAUUUGAAACAAUAUGAUCGACUGAAUAAUUAUUGCUGGCUGUGUUCUUAGAUUUCAAUAGCCCGAUUCUCGUAAGUAGAAGUGGUCCAAUUUUCAAUGGAGUUGUUCUCCUCAAUUCGUGGUUACCUGUAGAUAA